UGUGCGAGCCCCGGCAGGAACAGCGGCAGA
rnacentral:sRNA from 1 species